rnacentral:rRNA from 1 species
GAUGAACGCUGGCGGCGUGCCUAAUACAUGCAAGUCGAGCGAACAGACGAUGAUCUUGCGCCUCUGACGUUAGCGGCGGACGUGUGAGUAACACGUGGAUAACCUACCUAUAAGACUGGUAUAACUUCGGGAAACCGGAGCUAAUAGCGGAGAAUAUAUUGAACCGCAUGGUGCAAUAGUGAAAGACGGUGUUGCUGGCACGUAUAGAUGGAUCCGCGCCGCAUUAGGUGGUUGGUAAGGUAACGGGUUACCAAGGCGACGAGGCGUAGCCGACCUGAGAGGCUGAUAGGCGACCUGGGAACUUAGCCACGGUCAAGACUCCUACGGGAGGCAGCAGUCGGGAAUCUUCCGCAAUGGGCGAAAGCCUGACGGAGCAACGCCGCGUCAGUGAUGAAGGUCCUCGGAUCGUAAAAAUCUGUUAUCAGGGAAGAACCAAUGUGUCAGUAACUAUGCACGUCUUGACGGUACCUAAUCAGAAAGCCACGGCUAACUACGUG